rnacentral:rRNA from 1 species
GCGGAGGAAAAGAAACCAACAGGGAUUGCCCUAGUAACGGCGAGUGAAGCGGCAACAGCUCAAAUUUGAAAUCUGGCUUCGGCCCGAGUUGUAAUUUGUAGAGGAAGCUUUAGGCGCGGCACCUUCUGAGUCCCCUGGAACGGGGCGCCAUAGAGGGUGAGAGCCCCGUAUAGUUGGAUGCCUAGCCUGUGUAAAGCUCCUUCGACGAGUCGAGUAGUUUGGGAAUGCUGCUCAAAAUGGGAGGUAAAUUUCUUCUAAAGCUAAAUAUUGGCCAGAGACCGAUAGCGCACAAGUAGAGUGAUCGAAAGAUGAAAAGCACUUUGAAAAGAGGGUUAAAUAGCACGUGAAAUUGUUGAAAGGGAAGCGCUUGUGACCAGACUUGCGCCGGGCGGAUCAUCCGGUGUUCUCACCGGUGCACUCCGCCCGGCUCAGGCCAGCAUCGGUUCUCGUGGGGGGAUAAAGGCCCUGGGGACGUAGCUCCUCCGGGAGUGUUAUAGCCCAGGGUGUAAUGCCCUCGCGGGGACCGAGGUUCGCGCAUCUGCAAGGAUGCUGGCGUAAUGGUCAUCAGCGACCCGUCUUGAAACACGGACCAAGGAGUCAAGGUUUUGCGCGAGUGUUUGGGUGUUAAACCCGCACGCGUAAUGAAAGUGAACGUAGGUGAGAGCUUCGGCGCAUCAUCGACCGAUCCUGAUGUAUUCGGAUGGAUUUGAGUAGGAGCGUUAAGCCUUGGACCCGAAAGAUGGUGAACUAUGCUUGGAUAGGGUGAAGCCAGAGGAAACUCUGGUGGAGGCUCGCAGCGGUUCUGACGUGCAAAUCGAUCGUCAAAUCUGAGCAUGGGGGCGAAAGA